CCCUAGCACUAAUAGCAGCGGCAUCCUUUUUAUAGCGAUUUUUUUUCGGGAGAAAAAGAUAUAACGGACAGCAGGAACCCAU
rnacentral:sRNA from 1 species